rnacentral:rRNA from 1 species
GUAGGUGGCAAGCGUUGUCCGGAAUUAUUGGGCGUAAAGCGCGCGCAGGCGGUCCUUUAAGUCUGAUGUGAAAGCCCACGGCUCAACCGUGGAGGGUCAUUUGGAAACUGGGGACUGAGUACAGAAGAGAAAGCGGAAUUCCAAGUGUAGCGGUCGAAAUGCGUAGAGAUUUGGAGGAACACCAGUGGCGAAGGCGGCUUUCUGGUCUGUAACUGACGCUGAGGCGCGAAAGCGUGGGGAGCAAACAGGGAUUAGAUACCCUGGUAGUCCACGCCGUAAACGAUGAGUGCCUAAGUGUUAGGGGGUUUCCCGCCCCCUUAGUGCUGCAGCUAACGCAUUAAGCACUCCGCCUGGGGGAUACGGCCGCAAGGCUG